rnacentral:rRNA from 1 species
CUUGUUGGUGAGGUAACGGCUCACCAAGGCAACGAUGGUUAGCUGGUCUGAGAGGAUGAUCAGCCACACUGGCACUGAAACACGGGCCAGACUCCUACGGGAGGCAGCAGUGAGGAAUUUUGCGCAAUGGGGAAAACCCUGACGCAGCAACGCCGCGUGAGUGAUGAAGGCCUUCGGGUCGUAAAGCUCUGUCAAGUGGGAAGAAUCCGUUGGAUGAUAACAACAUCCGGCGCUGACGGUACCACUGAAGGAAGCACCGGCUAACUCCGUGCCAGCAGCCGCGGUAAUACGGAGGGUGCAAGCGUUAUUCGGAUUUACUGGGCGUAAAGAGCGCGUAGGCGUACUGUAAGUCAAAUGUGAAAGCCCGGGGCUUAACCCCGGAAGUGCAUUUGAAACUAUAGUACUUGAGUAUGGGAGAGGGAAGCGGAAUUCCUGGUGUAGCGGUGAAGUGCGUAGAUAUCAGGAGGAACACCCGUGGCGAAGGCGGCUUCCUGGACCAAUACUGACGCUGAGGCGCGAAGGCGUGGGGAGCAAACAGGAUUAGAUACCCUGGUAGUCCACGCAGUAAACGGUGAGCACUAGGUGUAGCGGGUAUUGACCCCUGCUGUGCCGCAGCUAACGCAUUAAGUGCUCCGCCUGGGGAGUACGGUCGCAAGGUUAAAACUCAAAGGAAUUGACGGGGGCCCGCACAAGCGGUGGAGCAUGUGGUUUAAUUCGACGCAACGCGAAGAACCUUACCUGGGUUUGACAUCCCGGGAAUCCUUUUGAAAAAAAGGCGUGCCCUUCGGGGAACCCGGUGACAGGUGCUGCACGGCUGUCGUCAGCUCGUGUCGUGAGAUGUUGGGUUAAGUCCCGCAACGAGCGCAACCCUUAUCUCUAGUUGCCAGCAUUCAGUUGGGGACUCUAGAGAUACUGCCCCGGUCAACGGGGAGGAAGGUGGGGAUGACGUCAAGUCCUCAUGGCCCUCAUGUCCAGGGCUACACACGUGCUACAAUGGGCUGUACAAAGGGUAGCAAUAUCGCGAGAUGGAGCCAAUCUCAAAAAGCAGCUCGUAGUUCGGAUUGGAAUCUGCAACUCGAUUCCAUGAAGUUGGAAUCGCUAGUAAUCGUGGAUCAGCACGCCACGGUGAAUACGUUCCCGGGCCUUGUACACACCGCCCGUCACACCAUGAGAGUUGGUUGUACCCGACGUCGCUGGGCCAACCCAUUCGGGAGGCAGGCGCCUAAGGUAUGGCUGAUGAUUGGGGUGAAGUCGUAACAAGGUA